rnacentral:lncRNA from 1 species
UUGUCUUAAUAAAAUUUGUUUCUUAAAAAAAAAAAAAAUAGUUGACUGUUUGGUUUGAUUAAUUCAUGCAUCGAAUUAUGGAAUGAUAAGAGGAAAGUAAUAGAAAAUUAUCUAGCGUUAUUUUCGUCUUAAAAAAAUAUCGGAACUUUUACACUAAGACCCGUUGAGUUAACAAUCCUGGAUCCGCCACUGGCAUUCACCCUUUCAAAUUCUAUGUAACCUAUAUACUAAAUACCAUAGUUAUGAGCUUGUAACUUAUGAGUUGUUAAUGUCUUCUUACCAUUGUAAGCCUAUAAAUAAGAGGUCUUAUCAAGAUGAGAUAUACAAGUUGAUUGAACAAUUUCUAUUGUCUUUUCUCUAC